GAUGAACGCUGGCGGUAUGCUUAACACAUGCAAGUCGAACGGACUCUUCGGAGUUAGUGGCGGACGGGUGAGUAACGCGUGAGAAUCUGGCUUUGGGUUCGGGACAACCACUGGAAACGGUGGCUAAUACCGGAUGUGCCGAGAGGUAAAAGAGAAAUUGCCUGAAGAUGAGCUCGCGUCUGAUUAGCUAGUUGGUGAGGUAAGGGCUCACCAAGGCAGCGAUCAGUAGCUGGUCUGAGAGGAUGACCAGCCACACUGGGACUGAGACACGGCCCAGACUCCUACGGGAGGCAGCAGUGGGGAAUUUUCCGCAAUGGGCGAAAGCCUGACGGAGCAAUACCGCGUGAGGGAAGAAGGCUCUUGGGGUGUAAACCUCUUUUCUUAGGGAAGAACAAAAUGACGGUACCUAAGGAAUCAGCAUCGGCUAACUCCGUG
rnacentral:rRNA from 1 species